rnacentral:lncRNA from 1 species
GUGGAGGUAGUGGUAUCUCUUGUAGAGGCUGAGGUGGUGCGAAGUUUACAGUUUGCGAGGCUUGCUGACUUUGAGAUUGAAAUUAUGGUGAUGGUUGCCACAUCAUAGUGGAUUGGUAGUUGAAGGAAGGAUUGGUAAAUGAAUUUGAAAGGUUAGGUGUAUAGGCGGUAUUGAUGUUCAUUUGUGGAUAAACUUAGCAGUAUGGCUGUUUGGCCAAAAAGAGGUGUUGUGGAUGGUUUUUGGCAUUGCGACUGCACUUUUUUCUUCAACUAUCCUUUUGAAAGUCUGUUUUUGUUUCUGGGCAGAAGUCGGUCGUGUGAUCCAGCUGCUUGCCAUGAAAUGUGCAAUAGGACAAUCGAGGUUGGUUGUUCUGAUUGUGCGGCCUCGGAGGUCCUCUGCCUCAGCCUCUCCCCUUGCCAGAGUGACUGCCUCUUUGCCCAUUGCCAUUACUUGUUUGCUAUUGUUGUUGGGGUUAUCUAUUGUGAUUUUGACUUUGU